CCUACGGGGAGCAGCAGUGAGGAAUAUUGGUCAAUGGACGCAAGUCUGAACCAGCCAUGCCGCGUGCAGGAAGACGGCUCUAUGAGUUGUAAACUGCUUUUGUACGAGGGUAAACGCAGAUACGCGUAUCUGUCUGAAAGUAUCGUACGAAUAAGGAUCGGCUAACUCCGUGCCAGCAGCCGCGGUAAUACGGAGGAUUCAAGCGUUAUCCGGAUUUAUUGGGUUUAAAGGGUGCGUAGGCGGUCGGAUAAGUUAGAGGUGAAAUCCCGAGGCUCAACUUCGGAAUUGCCUCUGAUACUGUUAGGCUAGAGAGUAGUUGCGGUAGGCGGAAUGUAUGGUGUAGCGGUGAAAUGCUUAGAGAUCAUACAGAACACCGAUUGCGAAGGCAGCUUACCAAGCUACGUCUGACGUUGAGGCACGAAAGCGUGGGGAGCAAACAGGAUUAGAUACCCGUGUAGUC
rnacentral:rRNA from 1 species